GUGGGGAAUAUUGCACAAUGGGCGCAAGCCUGAUGCAGUAACGCCGCGUGAGGGAUGACGGCCUUCGGGUUGUAAACCUCUUUUAGUAGGGAAGAAGCGAAAGUGACGGUACCUGCAGAAAAAGCACCGGCUAACUACGUGCCAGCAGCCGCGGUAAUACGUAGGGUGCAAGCGUUGUCCGGAAUUAUUGGGCGUAAAGAGCUCGUAGGCGGCUUGUCGCGUCUGCUGUGAAAUCCCGGGGCUCAACCCCGGGCCUGCAGUGGGUACGGGCAGGCUAGAGUGCGGUAGGGGAGAUUGGAAUUCCUGGUGUAGCGGUGGAAUGCGCAGAUAUCAGGAGGAACACCGAUGGCGAAGGCAGAUCUCUGGGCCGCUACUGACGCUGAGGAGCGAAAGCAUGGGGAGCGAACAGGAUUAGAAACCCUGGUAGUCC
rnacentral:rRNA from 1 species